CGCACCGGAGCUGUCGGUAACGAGGCAGCCGAGGCCGACCCCCAUCCCUCAACCCCCGCAGGGUGAGACCUCCGCCCUUCUGCGAGGGGGGUGCCAGGAGAUUCUGUUCCUCUGUCAUAAAUACACCGAACCUGCCAUCUUGAUGAUGGCGAGUCCAGGCAACUUCCGAUUUCUUCGAGUUGACUCUUCAAGUAGAAACUAGCAUCACAUGUACGUAACGGGCUGUAUAAACUUACCGACCUUGUAAAACUUCUAGUAGCACCUACAGAGGGCAAGUCUGGUAACAACGCCACUGACAAUUGCACAGCCUUUACUUUUUUCCUGAGUUAGGUGGACACAAACUCAUAUGAAAAAGGUAUUAAACAUUGUUAAUAUUCUCAGUUAGAUGAAAUAUCUUGCAACUUUAGCCCUGCUUGCCCAGCGCUAGCAAAGAAACCGCAGCAUCACGUACAGCAGCAAAGGGUCACAGCUCUGAAAUCUGAGGACACUAUCCCAGACAUCUCUGUGAGACGCUACACAGCCCACCUGAAAUACAGCAUGAAGACCACAGCCUGCAAGAUGUUUCACCAUGGGUUGAAGCUAGAAGGGACUGUCAACCACCUGAGUCCAACCACCUGCCCAAGCAGGCUCAGCUACAGCAGGGUCCCUUGGACCACAGUCAGUUGGGUUUUGAGUAACUUCAAGAAUGAAGACUUCACCUUUCCAGGCUACCUGUUGCAGUGUUUGACUGCCCUUCAGAAUGGAAAAGUAUUUUCUUAUAUUCAGACAGAAUUGCCCAUGUUUCAAUGUAUACUCCAGUUUUCAAAUGUUAAGCUUCAAUUUUCUAAGAUGAUAGCAUUACUGUAAUCUUGAGAAAAAAAUCCAAAAGGACAGUAAGGAUGAAUAUGAAAAAAAGUGUAUUAAUAACUGUACCUCUGUAUAACCUUUCUCCUUUCCAUACAGAAUGCAUUAUGUAAACCUUUAAGCAUAACAUUAAAGGAAAUGACAAGUGGAA